AGAUAAAGAAGGCAGGGCAAGAAAUGGCUGUAAACACUGGACAAGAAAUGAGCAUGCAUUGAUGGAACAUUAUUUACUAUGGUUUAGUUCCCAGAUAAAGAAGGCAGGGCAAGAAAUGGCUGUCCAUACUCUGGACAAAAAAUGAGCAUGCUUUGAUGGAACAUCAUUUAGUUCCCAGACUCCAGAUAGAAGUUCUUUCCAGAUGUAAAGUGAAUUGAUGAAAUCUUUAAAAAGUGUUGUGAGUGUUGGUGUUGUCCAGAUAUAAAAAAAAAUGAGCAGCUGCCAGAUGAAUGUACUUUCCAGAUGUAAACCAUCACAAAUGAUGCCUGUUUGUAUUUACCAGUGUUUAAAAAGUGAUCAAAUUUGAUGUGGGAUGAUUCAAAACAAAUCUUCAAAUUGACAAUGGCAAAAAGCAAGUGGAAAUGGAAUACUCCAGAUGAAAAUGGUUAGCAUGGAUAUUUUUUGCCUGUGAAAAGUGCAGAGAUCUAUACACUACUGCUGUGUUCUUUGAGUCUGUUCUUAUUUCUAGCAGACUUUAUUAUGCCCCCUUCGAAAGAGGGUUAUAUAUUGUU
rnacentral:lncRNA from 1 species